rnacentral:ncRNA from 1 species
GACCCAAACAUGGGUGAUCAAUCCAUGACCAGGAUGAAGCUUGAAUGAAGUUAAGUAGAGGUUUGAAUUGACUAAUGUUGAAGAAUCACUAAAUGAGUUGUGGUUAGGGGUGAAAUGUCAUUCAAACCCAAAGCUAACUAG